rnacentral:tRNA from 1 species
GUGAGGUUAAUCUAAAUUAAGACUACUGAUUUCGACUCAAUAAAUUAUGAAUAAACCCAUAACCUCCCU